UUAUUAUUAUUAUUAUUAUUAUUAUUAUUAUUAUUGGAGUGGUGUAGUGGUUUUUGUAAUGCUGCAGAGUAUGCAUGUAAAAAGUAAUGUGAAAAGAAUAUACAGUGCCUUGAAAUACAAGUGACCCAACUUAAGAGUUUAUUUGGAGGCACGAGCAGUUGAUUAGCCAAUUUUCGUUCUUUUUUUUUUUUUUCUUGAAAUACGAGUGCGAACUUAGGAUAUAAGCAUGGAGUUGAAACCUCAACUCACAACGGCAGCAGUUUGGCCGAUAUGAUUGGUGAAUAUUUUGGGGGAAAAAAGUAAUUGCCUUUUGCAGUUAAGGUUUACUGCCAAGCUAAACAUCAAACAAAGAGAAUUAUAUGUUGUGUAUUUAAAGCAACCAUAUGGCCUCAUCUAACUGAAUGCAAACAUACUCUGGAAAAUUCCGUAGUCACAUGGGCUAACAAUUAGUAUCUAUGUGUCAGGGUUCUUACCAUUGAAGCAAUGAUAUCUGAACACCAUGGAUGUCAUACUCAAGUUUGGACUUGAACAUCAGUCCAAACACGACAUGUUUUUUUUGUUGUCUCGAACUUGGCUCGGACUUGGCCAUUGGACUCACAAAAUAUUUUUAGCGAUUCGACCAUGUCCAAAUGUUUUUAUUCCUGAAAAUUAAUGUCCUCUUUCAAAAGAAACUUGAAAUAAAACAUUUCAGAUGAUCAAAAUAGACAUUUGAUUGGUUACUCUGAUCGCAAAUG